UAGGUAACCUGCCUGGUAGCGGGGGAUAACUAUUGGAAACGAUAGCUAAUACCGCAUAACAGUAGAUGUUGCAUGACAUUUGCUUAAAAGGUGCAAUUGCAUCACUACCAGAUGGACCUGCGUUGUAUUAGCUAGUUGGUGGGGUAACGGCUCACCAAGGCGACGAUACAUAGCCGACCUGAGAGGGUGAUCGGCCACACUGGGACUGAGACACGGCCCAG
rnacentral:rRNA from 1 species